AUUGAACGCUGGCGGCAGGCUUAACACAUGCAAGUCGAGCGGGGUGAUGGUGCUUGCACUAUCACUUAGCGGCGGACGGGUGAGUAAUGCUUAGGAAUCUGCCUAUUAGCGGGGGACAACAUCUCGAAAGGGAUGCUAAUACCGCAUACGUCCUACGGGAGAAAGCAGGGGAUCACUUGUGACCUUGCGCUAAUAGAUGAGCCUAAGUCGGAUUAACUAGUUGGUGGGGUAAAGGCCUACCAAGGCGACGAUCUGUAGCGGGUCUGAGAGGAUGGUCCGCCACACUGGGGCUGAGACACGGGCCAGACGCCUACGGGAGGCAGCAGUGGGGAAUAUUGGACAAUGGGGGGAACGCUGAUCCAGCCAUGCCGCGUGUGUGAAGGAGGCCUUAUGGUUGUAAAGCACUUUAAGCGAGGAGGAGGCUCUUUUGGUUAAUACCCAAGAUGAGUGGACGUUACUCGCAGAAUAAGCACCGGCUAACUCUGUGCCAGCCGCCGCCGUAA
rnacentral:rRNA from 1 species